CGAGAAUUCUGGUACGGGGCAACUGUAAUGUAAGAAACAAUAAGUUGCCCAAGCAGAAUUUUCGAA
rnacentral:pre_miRNA from 1 species